UGUAGCUAAUUUAUAUUAAGAUGAUAUAUUUAUAUUAAGUGUGAUUAUCAGUUCAGGGCUGCUGUGGACUAUGCAGUGUCCACACUACGUUCAGCAUCAGUAUGGCAAGCCGAGGUAUGCCAGAUUGCCCAAGGAGAAGUGAACUGGUCCUGGUUGGAUACGGAGCAGGUAAAAACUCCCGUGCCAAUCAGUAGUGGGGACUGCGCUUGUGAAUAGCUGCUGUAACAUUACCU